GGGGCGGUAGCUCAGCUGGGAGAGCGCUACGUUCGCAUCGUAGAGGUCGUGGGUUCGAUCCCCAUCCGCUCCA
rnacentral:tRNA from 1 species